CAGCCUAAUGAUUUUAUGCCAGCCUCUCCCUUCCCUUUUCCUGAGGCUGGUAUGGCUGGACUUCCCUGCACAUUGAUGAUACUCAGCUGCUGCAAUGGCAGAUGAGGUCCCAAUUUUCAGAGGUGCUGCUCCUAUUGAGAACAUGGCUAUAAUGGAUACCACAGCCUCAUCACCAAUGGACACUCCCAACCACUGCCGGAACACUGUCCUACUCACAAGGAUGGGGUAGAGAAAAGCUACAUGUGUACCAGGUCUGGAGAUUUUCUAAUUGGCCACCAUCAUCACUCCUGCACACAUCAAAUGUUCCAGGCAGUAAAUGCAGUUUAGCAUCAGUGAUGGUACAGCCCCAACCCCAAAAGAAUGCAAAAAAUAAAUGUACAUUUGUCUAUGCACCAAUUACAGCUGUUAACGUAACAUCAUAGGAGCUACUUGUCAGAAUGGACUGAAUUUGGGGAGAUACAGAGUAGUUUUGUCGAAGUGCUGGGUUCUCUUAACUCCCCCAUUGAAAAAACUGAGUGUUAAGGGUGCUCAGUGGUUCUAAGGAAGCACUCAGCGCCUUGCAGGAUUGGUCCCACUGAGUCCCAACAGAAGCUCCAAGACGAGUAAAGACCAAGACUACGCCACAC